rnacentral:rRNA from 1 species
AUUGAACGCUGGCGGCAGGCCUAACACAUGCAAGUCGAGCGGAGUGGCGGACGGGUGAGUAAUGUAUCGGAAUGUGCCUGGUAGUGGGGGAUAACGACGGGAAAGGGGAGCUAAUACCGCAUACUAUCGGAAGCGCCUAGAUCGGAUUAGCUAGUGGGUGGGGUAAAGGCCAACCAAGGCGACGAUCCGUAGCUGGUUUGAGAGGAAGAUCAGCCACACUGGGACUGAGACACGGCCCAGACUCCUACGGGAGGCAGCAGUGGGGAAUAUUGGACAAUGGGCGAAACCCUGAUCCAGCCAUACCGCGUGUGUGAUGAAGGCCUUCGGGUUGUAAAGCACUUUUAGUUGGGAGGCGGUACCUGCAGAAUAAGCACCGGCUAACUACGUGCCAGCAGCCGCGGUAAUAC